rnacentral:rRNA from 1 species
AGUGAACGCUGGCGGUAGGCCUAACACAUGCAAGUCGAACGGCAGCACAGUAAGAGCUUGCUCUUACGGGUGGCGAGUGGCGGACGGGUGAGGAAUACAUCGGAAUCUACUUUUUCGUGGGGGAUAACGUAGGGAAACUUACGCUAAUACCGCAUACGACCUACGGGUGAAAGCAGGGGAUCUUCGGACCUUGCGCGAUUGAAUGAGCCGAUGUCGGAUUAGCUAGUUGGCGGGGUAAAGGCCCACCAAGGCGUCGAUCCGUAGCUGGUCUGAGAGGAUGAUCAGCCGCACUGGAACGGAGACACGGUCCAGACUACUACGGGAGGCAGCAGUGGCGAAUAUUGGACAAUGGGCGCAAGCCUGAUCCAGCCAUACCGCGUGGGUGAAGAAGGCCUUCGGGUUGUAAAGCCCUUUUGUUGGGAAAGAAAAGCAGCCGGCUAAUACCCCGCUGUUCUGACGGUACCCAAAGAAUAAGCAACGGCUAACUUCGUG